rnacentral:rRNA from 1 species
UGGGGAAUAUUGGACAAUGGGCGAAAGCCUGAUCCAGCAACGCCGCGUGGAGGACGAAGGCCUUCGGGUCGUAAACUCCUGUCAGUAGGGACGAAAAGGUCGAGUGGAAACGCUCGGCCGUUGACGGUACCUGCAGAGGAAGCCCCGGCUAACUCCGUGCCAGCAGCCGCGGUAAUACGGAGGGGGCGAGCGUUAUUCGGAAUUACUGGGCGUAAAGGGCGCGCAGGCGGCCUGGUAGGUCAAAGGUGAAAUCCCUCGGCUCAACCGAGGAACUGCCUUUGAAACCACCAGGCUCGAGGCCGGGAGGGGGUAGCGGAAUUCCUGGUGUAGCGGUGAAAUGCGUAGAUAUCAGGAGGAACACCGGUGGCGAAGGCGGCUACCUGGACCGGUUCUGACGCUGAGGCGCGAAAGCGUGGGGAGCAAACAGGAUUAGAUACCCCCGUAGUCC